rnacentral:rRNA from 1 species
AUUGAACGCUUGCGGCAUGCCUUACACAUGCAAGUCGAACGGUAGCGGGCCUUCGGGUGCCGACGAGUGGCGAACGGGUGAGUAAUGUAUCGGAACGUACCUUUCAGUGGGGGAUAACGUAGCGAAAGUUACGCUAAUACCGCAUAUUCUGUGAGCAGGAAAGCAGGGGAUCGCAAGACCUUGCGCUGAUUGAGCGGCCGAUAUCAGAUUAGCUAGUUGGUGAGGUAAAGGCUCACCAAGGCGACGAUCUGUAGCGGGUCUGAGAGGAUGAACCGCCACACUGGACAUGAGACACGGUCCAGACUCCUACGGGAGGCAGCAGUGGGGAAUUUUGGACAAUGGGGGCAACCCUGAUCCAGCCAUGCCGCGUGAGUGAAGAAGGCCUUCGGGUUGUAAAGCUCUUUCGGCCGGGAAGAAAUCGUAUCAGCUAAUACCUGGUGCGGAUGACGGUACCGGCAUAAGAAGCACCGGCUAACUACGUGCCAGCCGCCGCGGUAACAC